UGCCUACGGGGGGCAGCAGUGGGGAAUUUUGGACAAUGGGGGAAACCCUGAUCCAGCCAUGCCGCGUGCGGGAAGAAGGCCUUCGGGUUGUAAACUGCUUUUGUACGGAACGAAACGGUCCUGGUUAAUACCUGGGGCUAAUGACGGUACCGUAAGAAUAAGCACCGGCUAACUACGUGCCAGCAGCCGCGGUAAUACGUAGGGUGCAAGCGUUAAUCGGAAUUACUGGGCGUAAAGCGUGCGCAGGCGGUUUUGUAAGACAGGCGUGAAAUCCCCGGGCUCAACCUGGGAAUUGCGCUUGUGACUGCAAGGCUGGAGUGCGGCAGAGGGGGAUGGAAUUCCGCGUGUAGCAGUGAAAUGCGUAGAUAUGCGGAGGAACACCGAUGGCGAAGGCAAUCCCCUGGGCCUGCACUGACGCUCAUGCACGAAAGCGUGGGGAGCAAACAGGAUUAGAUACCCCGGUAGUC
rnacentral:rRNA from 1 species